UACGGGGGGGGCAAGCGUUGUUCGGAAUUACUGGGCGUAAAGGGCUCGUAGGUGGCCAACUAAGUCAGACGUGAAAUCCCUCAGCUUAACUGGGGAACUGCGUCUGAUACCGGAUGGCUUGAGUUUGGGAGAGGGAUGCGGAAUUCCAGGUGUAGCGGUGAAAUGCGUAGAUAUCUGGAGGAACACCGGUGGCGAAGGCGGCAUCCUGGACCAACACUGACACUGAGGAGCGAAAGCCAGGGGAGCAAACGGG
rnacentral:rRNA from 1 species